UCAAACGCAAUCAGUCAUUUGAGCCGUGGUUCUUUCUCGAGUGGAGAGAGAGAGAGAGAGAGAUAGAGAUAGACAGGCCGGUUUAUUAAUAUCUUGUACUCCAAGAUAAAACUCAACACACACACACACACACACACAUCUGCAAAAAAAGGAGAUUUUACGCAUUUCUAUUCAGCCCUGGGUCGUUACACUUGCGAAAUCGGCAACUGUUUUUGCGCCGAUUGGAUUCUCCGCUACAUGUUCAGGAUGGAGAUUGAUUCCUCUUCAUCUGAACUUCAUACGCCUCUUCUUUCUCCCAAAGAUCGUAUACUCAAGAGGCUAUCACUAAUAGAUGUUCCUGAAGAGAACCUUGAGCAUCCGUCUGGAAUAAUCACAUUUGUUAGAAGAAACCACUCGCGAUUACAAGAAAUAUUCAAUGCGAUUUUACCAACAGAUGAUGAGAUGGAGGCUGCAAUGAAAGCAGAGUCAGACCCCAACAUUGAAGAUUUACUACACGAAAGCAUGGUCUGGUUGCAGUGGUUGAUGUUUGAUGGUGAUCCUGCUGAAAUGCUACAACGACUGGCUUUGAUGAAUGCUGGGAAACGUGGCGUUUGUGGGUCUGUGUGGGGACACAAUGACAUAGCAUACCGAUGUAGAACAUGCGAACAUGAUCCCACAUGUGCGAUUUGUGUCCCAUGUUUCAAAAAUGGUAACCAUAAGGACCAUGAUUAUUCAAUCAUAUACACAGGUGGUGGAUGCUGUGAUUGUGGAGAUGUGACGGCAUGGAAACGUAGUGGAUUUUGUUCUAAACAUAAAGGAGCAGAACAGAUACAGCCACUUCAAGAAGAUAUUGCAAAGACUUUAGGUCCUGUUUUGGAUUAUCUUCUUCUUUACUGGAAAAGAAAACUAAAAAUUGCUGAGAGUAACCACCAAAACAGGCCUACUGUUGAUGAUAAUGCUACAGAACCUAAAAAGGCCACAGAUGUGCUGACAUCAGCGGUGGUGGGGAUGCUUUUGGAUUUUUGUAAGUGCAGUGAAAGUUUGCUUAGUUUUGUUUCUGGAAGAUUAUGCUCGGAAGUCGAUCUGCUGGAUGUUGUUGUAAGGGCAGAAAUGUUUUUAAGCACGGAAGUUGUCCGGAAGCUUCAUGAAUUACUUUUGAAGUUGCUCAGUGAUCCUUUUUUUAAAUAUGAAUUUGCAAAGGCUUUUCUAAAGUAUUAUCCCAAGGUUGUUAAUGAAGCUGUGAAGGAGUGUAAAGAUUCUGUUUUUAGAAAAUAUCUACUACUACCGACAUUUUCUGUUCAAAUUUUUACUGUCCCUACUUUGACCCCACGCCUCGUUAAGGAAAUGGAUCUUUUAACCAUGCUUUUGGAAUGUUUAACCAACAUAUUCAGUUCUUGUUCUCGAGAGGAUCAUCGACUACAGGUAUCCAAGUGGGGAAAUUUGUAUGAAACAACACACCGUGUCGUUGAAGAUAUUAGAUUUGUCAUGAGCCAUUCGACAAUACCAAAAUACAUGACAUGUGACAGGCGUGACCUAUCAAGGACAUGGAUGAAAUUGUUGGCUUUUGUGCAGGGAAUUAGCCCUCAAAAAAGAGAAACCAAUAUUCACAUAGAAGAAGAAAAUGAAAACAUGCAUUUGCCUUUUGUUUUAGGUCACUCCAUUGCAAAUAUUCAUGCUUUAUUAGUGGCUGGUGCAUUUUCCACUGAAGAUGAAUCAGUGUCCACUACAAAUAAGCAGGAUGUUGAUGAACAAGACAUUUUACGACAUGCAAAAGUUGGGAGACUUUCACAGGAAAGCUCUGUAUCUAGUGUGACUGCAAGGGGCACAUCGAUGGAUUGUGAUUCGGAAGCUGUUGGAGGGAAUGCUGAAAGUAUACCUGUUUUGACUUCAAUUUCAUGGUUAAUGUUCGAGUGUUUACGGGCCAUUGAAAAUUGGUUGAAAUCCGACAAUACUGCGAAUACGUCAGGAGGUCAUCUCACUCUCUUAACUUCAAGAACAAGCAAUGCUUCUGGUAGUAAUUUCUUUCAAUUAAAGAGAACACUAUCUAAGUUUAGAAAAGGAAAAACUAUUUCUGCAGGUCUUGGUGCUCAUCAACCGCGUGACACCAUUUCUGCAGGUUUCGGAGAUCGUGUGGUGGAUGGAGAUUAUACAAAUGAAUUAGAGGCUUUGAGUUUAGCAGACUGGCCUGAAAUUGAAUACGAUGUUAGUUCACAGGAGAUAUCAGUACACAUACCGUUGCAUCGUUUGCUCUCGUUGGUUUUACAGAGAGCAUUGAAGAGGUGUUAUGGUGAAUCUGAAUCAUCUGCUGACUCAUCAGUUGAAUUUGGUGAUUUUUUCGGCCAUGUGCUUGGUGGCUGCCACCCGUACGGGUUCUCUGCUUUUGUAAUGGAACAUCCUCUGCGUAUUAGGGUUUUCUGUAGUGAAGUUCAUGCUGGAAUGUGGAGGAAGAAUGGGGAUGCUGCGAUAUUAUCUUAUGAGUGGUAUCGCUCGGUUCGCUGGUCUGAGCAGGGUUUGGAACUUGAUUUAUUUCUUCUACAAUGUUGUGCUGCAUUAGCUCCAGCAGAUCUGUAUAUUUCUAGAAUCAUAAAACGAUUUGGUCUAUCAGCUUAUCUUAAUUUGGAUUUGGAAAGAGCAAAUGAGUAUGAAGCGGCUUUGGUACAGGAGAUGCUAAAUCUUAUUAUACAAAUAGUAAAAGAAAGGCGAUUUUGUGGAUUAACUACAACUCAAUGUCUUCAACGUGAGUUAAUCUAUAAGCUAUCCACUGGAAAUGCCACUCAUAGUCAAUUGGUCAAAUCCCUUCCUCGUGACCUUUCUAAACUUGACCAGUUUCAACAAAUUUUGGAUACCGUAGCUGAGUACUCUUAUCCAUCUGGAAUCAAACAGGGUAUGUACAAAUUACGCUUAGAGUACUGGAAAGAACUAGAUUUGUAUCAUCCUCGUUGGAAUUCGCGGGACUUACAAGUUGCGGAAGAACGAUACUUGCGGUUUUGCAAUGUUUCUGCAUUAACCAAUCAGCUUCCAAAAUGGUCAAAGGUUUAUCCUCCUCUUAAUGGGUUAGCCAAAGUAGCUACAUGCAAAACAAUUCUACAAAUCAUUCGAGCCGUUCUUUUUUAUGCGCUUUUUACCGAUAAAUUGAUGCCAUCACGCGCUCCUGAUGGAGUUCUUAUAACAGCAUUGCACUUGCUAUCACUAGCAUUAGAUAUUUCUCAAGCGCAGAUCCAAUCCGGUGAUGCGGAUAAUUCUAUUCCGCUUUUAGCCUUUGCUGGUGAAGAAAUAUCGACGGGUGUAAAUGAUGGAUAUGAUAAUCAAAGCUUGUUAUCACUUCUUGUGUCGUUAAUGAGGAUAAAUCAAAAAGAAAAUGUGUACAGUUUGGUGGAAUCUGGUGGAUUUGACCUUUCUUCUUUGAUCAAGAAUCUCCUUCAGAAAUUUGCUGAGCUGGAUCCUGGAUGCCUCAAUAAAUUGCAAAGAUUAGCGCCUGAAGUUGUUAAUCAGCUCCCUCAUUCUACGCCUAGCGGUGAUGCAAAUAACAGUGCUUCCAUGUCUGAUAGUGAGAAACGGAAGGCAAAAGCACGUGAGAGACAAGCUGCUAUAAUGAAAAAAAUGAAGGCACAGCAGUCAAAAUUCAUGGAGAACAUAAGUUCAUCAGCAGAAAGUGGCUUAAAUGAUUCAAACGAUGCUGAAGAAAGUAUUUCUGAAGUUGCAAAUGAUCCAGAUGGACAUGAACAGGUAGUCUGUUCUCUCUGUCAUGACGCAAGUUCCAAGUCUCCUGUGUCGUUUUUAGUUCUUCUCCAGAAAUCUAGGGUUGUGAGUUUGCUCGAUAAAGGUCCUCCAUCAUUGGAAAAAGAAAUUCAAAGAUCUGGGAAGGAGCAAGUUUCAUAUAGCGAUGAAGAUUUAAACACUCAAACUUCAAGCAGUUCAGAAACAAUGAUAUCAUCUGAAUUAAUGAACUUAUUUCAGAAUACAAUUAAUGAAUUUUCUUCUACUGGUCAACCACAAGAGGUUGAUGCUUUUCUGGAGUUCAUAAAAAUCCGCUUCCCAUCAUUAAAGGAUAUUCAUUUUCCCCAAACGUCACAUGAUAAUAGUAGUCAACCAACCACAUCUUCGGGUGAUGCAUUUGAAGAAAAUAUGUACACACAGAUUCUGGACGUUAUGGAAAAUGAUGUUAUGAAGGAUGCGGAUUUUUCAUCAGCUGAAUGUAGUUCAAAUGAAUCUUUUUUACUUGGGAAGUACAUCGCAUCUUUAUCUAAUGAACUGUUAAAUAAUUCGUCACCCUCUGUUGGUGGGUCGCGUAGCAAGGCACAACCAAGUUCAGUGACUUCAUGUCUGACAUAUGAAGGUUUUGGACCGUCAGAUUGCAAUGGAAUUUAUGUUUCUUCAUGUGGGCAUGCAGUGCAUCAGGAUUGCCUUGAUCGUUAUCUACGGUCGCUGAAGGAAAGAUAUACGAGAAGAAUUGAUUUCGAAGGAGGUCAUAUUGUGGAUCCAGAUCAGGGGGAGUUUUUAUGUCCUGUUUGUCGAGGACUUGCAAAUUCCGUGUUACCUGAUUUACCUAAAGAAGGAACCAAGGACAACGGGCAAUUAAAAAGUCAAAUUUUGUUCUCUUCAGAUGCUAAUGACGUUUUUCUCCUUAAACAAUCACUUUCUCUUUUGCAAGCUGCAGCUGAUGUUUCUAGCAGGAGUGAAUUUCUCAAAUCAUUUCCAGUGUUACACAAACGAGGAACAAUCACAAAUCUUGAAUCCGUAAUUCGUUUACUUCAUGAAAUGUAUUUCCCAGGAGACGAUAAACUUUCCGGAUCAAAUCGGUUAAGUGACUCCAUGAUCAUGUGGGACACCCUCAAAUAUUCACUUACAUCUAUAGAAAUCGCUGCUAGAUCUGAAAGGACUUCCUCAGCUACCAAUUUUAGCGUUGAUGCUUUAUAUGAGGAGUUAAGGUCUUCUAGUGGGUUUAUUUUGUCAUUGCUGCUUAAAAUUGUUCACCGUACCCGAGUUCAAAGCUCACUUGACGUUCUCUUAAGAUUAAUGUGUAUUAAAAAGUUCGCAAAGUCGAUCUGCUGUGCUGAUACUCUAAACGAACCACCCAGUGACACCUACAGAGUUGAAGAAAGUGUGAUGAGUAUGUUGGAAAAUGCUGAUAUGGGCAAACGAUACCCAGAUAUUCAGUUUUGUGCAAUGGCAUCGUACCCUGUUCUCGCAUCGGAUGCUUUCUCGACUUUAAUGUGGAUCCUAUUUUGUCUUCCGGUGCCUUCUAUGACAUCUGAAAAAACAUUUUUUCCUCUUGUUCAUAUGUGCUAUGUUGUCUCCAUAACUCAGGCUGCAUUAACAUGCUUUGGAUUAAACGAGUCUAUGAAUGAUUUGAGUCACAAUGAUUCUCUUAUCACCGACAUUUUUAAGUUUGUGGGUGAACAUAGAUUUUUAAGCCAAUAUUUUGUUUCCAACUAUAUGGACAACUGUCGUGAUCUUACCGAGUCAAUUCGUAGCCUGAGUUUUCCAUUUCUCCGAAGGUGUGCAGUGUUGUGGAAAUUAAUGAACUCUUCGGCUUCAACACCAUUUAGUGGGGCCCUUAGACCAUCACAAACAUUUGGAGAUAGAAUGGAUUACUCUUUUGGCACGCCAGAAGAAUCUAUUGAAAUUGAUGAGUUGGAGAAGAUGUUUAAUAUUCCAGCGUUGGACAACAUAGUUAAUGAUGAAGUGGCACGAUCUUUGGUUAAAAAAUGGUUGCAACACAUUGCAAAGGAAUUCGGAGUUAGUAAUCCUUCACGGGUUUUGCACUUAACCCCUGUCGUCCCAUUUAAGUUGAUGGUUUUGCCACACCUAUACCAGGAUCUGUUGCAAAGGUACAUAAAACAGAAGUGUGUUGACUGUGGAGCUGUUCAGGAUGAACCCGCGUUAUGCUUGUUGUGUGGUAAAUUGUGCUCGCCAAGCUGGAAGACAUGCUGCAGGAAUAACAAGUGCCAAACUCAUGCGAUGUCUUGUGGGGCCGGCACUGGCGUAUUUCUGUUGAUUAGGAAAACUACAAUAUUACUUCAAAGAUCUGCACGUCAGGCACGCUGGCCAUCUCCUUACCUGGAUGCAUUUGGUGAAGAGGACAUUGAAAUGCAUAGGGGAAAGCCAUUAUAUUUGAAUGAGGAACGUUAUGCAGCUUUAAGUCAUAUGGUGGCUUCUCAUGGACUUGAUCGGAGUUCAAAAGUGCUGCAUCAAACAUCAAUUGGUGCUUUCCUAAUGCUUUAGACUGGAUUCAUUGUAGCUGAACUCUACCCAAGUCGGUAGUAAGCGUGGUGAUGGAUUGUCGGCAGGUGGUGGCGGCGACGGCAGUGACUGGUCGAUAGGUGGCUAUAGAUUCCGGGUAGUUGCUUUGGUGGGCAGCUGAUUUGACACAAAGGAGGGAGGGAUUUUUCAUCAUAUGCAAGACGGACCGGACCUUGCGACAUGCUUUCUAUCCACCAGAGCUUUUAUGUACAGUUAUUGUAAAUACCUAUGAAAUACUUGUGCCCAAAAUCGUUGCCUUCAACUAUGAAACGGAACGGAACCGAAUCGAUAUAUAGUGAGUGACCACAAUAACCUAUGGUGGUGUAAGCAUUUGCAAAUAUUUGAUGUUUUCUCUAUAUGUUGCAGUGCUGAUUUCUCUUUGGUCA